CACUCUGAUCUUUUGAGUUUAAUCUUUUUUUAAUCUUUUUUGAAUCAUUCGGAAUCUUUCUGAAUCUCGCCAAAUCAUGCAUAUGAAAUAGUGAUGUAAUUUUUGCUUCAGUGCAUUAACAGCAUCUGUCAAACUCGGUUCGCGCGCGGCCGCGGGCUAAAACCUCUACACGACUCCACACGACCAGCAGGUAAAGUGAGACUUUUGACCGCAAAACAGCCGUCUCCGACGAGGAAAUCCGAUUCCGAAGCAUCCUGGAGAUGUUUCUCGGCAAAGUGGAAACAACCUCCGCAAGAGAUCCAUACGCUACCGCGCCGGCAUCUGCGGAUUGCUGCUCCAUUCAACUUCCUCGGGAACAUCCAACACUCGACGUGGUCUGCUCACCUUGGUCACCUGUGCUCCAAGCCAUGCCAUACCAUCCGGAUCUCUUGCGAACAUAAUCUUUGAAGGAUAACUAUUCGACAUACUUGCAACAUGUCCUGCCCACUGCAUCCUUCCUGUUUUGGUCACUUUCUGGAAGCUGGAUUCGCCGUAGAGUAAAGCGAGGUCUCGUUCAUCUUCCGCCGCCACACACCGUACUCCUGCACACCGCCGAAGAUCGUCGUUAGUAUGCGCCGCUCAAAAACUCCCGAGUGCUUGCCGGUCCUCCACGAGCAUGGCCAUUUCUCGUGUUCGAAGAGGACCACCGGUUUGCGUUUUGUAAAUGGUACAUUUAGUACGGGGAUGAAUCUAGGUCAACUAUGGGUAACUAGCGGUAACAUCAUUAAAAAAAUCUACCUGGACCAGCUACUUCACCCGUCUCAUCUAUCAAAUGUUUUGUAAUAUAUUUUUUCACUGUUGUGUAAUAUCAAUAAAAAUGCUGUGGGUGGGGUGUUUCAUUCGACCAAGCCAUCCGAAAUUACAUCGGGGUCUGACUAGGGGCAACUCGUUGUAU